UACGGAGGAUGCAAGCGUUAUCCGGAAUGAUUGGGCGUAAAGCGUCCGCAGGUGGCUAUGUAAGUCUGCUGUUAAAGAGUGAGGCUCAACCUCAUAAGAGCAGUGGAAACUACAUGGCUAGAGUGCGUUCGGGGCAGAGGGAAUUCCCGGUGUAGCGGUGAAAUGCGUAGAUAUCGGGAAGAACACCAGUGGCGAAGGCGCUCUACUGGGCCACAACUGACGCUGGAGG
rnacentral:rRNA from 1 species